UACAGAGGUCUCAAGCGUUGUUCGGAAUCACUGGGCGUAAAGGGUGCGUAGGCCGCACGGUAAGUCAGAUGUGAAAUCUCAGGGCUCAACUCUGAAAUUGCAUCCGAUACUGCCGUGCUUGAGGACUGGAGAGGAGUCUGGAAUUCAUGGUGGAGCAGUGAAAUGCGUAGAUAUCAUGAGGAACGCUAGUGGCGGAGGCGAGACUCUGGACAGUUCCUGACGCUGAGGCACGAAGGCCAGGGGAGCAAACGGG
rnacentral:rRNA from 1 species